UACGUAGGGUGCAAGCGUUGUCCGGAAUUAUUGGGCGUAAAGAGCUUGUAGGCGGUUUGUCGCGUCUGCCGUGAAAUUUCGAGGCUCAACCUCGAACUUGCGGUGGGUACGGGCAGACUAGAGUGUGGUAGGGGAGACUGGAAUUCCUGGUGUAGCGGUGAAAUGCGCAGAUAUCAGGAGGAACACCGAUGGCGAAGGCAGGUCUCUGGGCCACUACUGACGCUGAGAAGCGAAAGCAUGGGGGAGCGAACAGG
rnacentral:rRNA from 1 species